rnacentral:misc_RNA from 1 species
UUUCCGUAGGUGAACCUGCGGAAGGAUCAUUAACACGUAUCCAAACGUACCAACCCAAUAUACGAACCAUAACCCGCGCCCUGACUGUGUUCGGACCGCUGCCUCUUUCGUCUUUUCUUCGGAAAAAUCAGCAAAGAGAUGCAAGUUCGGCAGCGUGCAACUGGUAACGGUUGUAUUGCUGGAGCUCUGUUCGCAGUCGCAAGACUGGGGAACAUCCGCAUUGUACGGCUGCCUUUUUUUCCACAUCAACACCUUCUCUGGUUUGACGGAAACAAACUUCGACGCUGUUGCCUCCUUACGGAGACAGGGCUCGAUUUUAAAGAUAUUGAACGCUGAACAACUUUUAGCAACGGAUAUCUUGGUUCUC